CUGAAGUCAAAUCCUGUGGCUCAACCACAGUUCGCUUUGGAAACUGAAGAACUAGAGUGCGGGAGAGGUAAGCGGAAUUCCAUAUGUAGCGGUGAAAUGCACAGAUAUAUGGAGGAACACCGGUGGCGAAGGCGGCUUACCAGCCCGAUACUGACGCUCAGUCACGAAAGCGUGGGGAGCAAAUAGGCUUAGAUACCCUAGUAGUCCACGCCGUAAACGUUGAGGACCUGAUGCCGGAGUAUUUCGGUGUCGUAGCUAACGCGUUAAGUCCUCCGCCUGGGUACUACGUUCGCAAGAAUAAAACUUAAAGGAAUUGACGGGGGCCCGCACAAGCAGUGGAGCAUGUGGUUUAAUUCGUCGCUACGCGAAAAACCUUACCAGGGUUUGACAUCCCGCUAAAAGUCUUGGAAACAAGAUUAUAGUUAUAGCGGUGAAAGGUGGUGCAUGGUUGUCGUCAGCUCGUGUCGUGAGAUGUUGGGUUAAGUCCCCUAACGAGCGCAACCCUUGUCUCUAUUUGCCAUCAUUAAGUUGGGAACUAUAGAGAGACUGCCGGUGCAAACCGGAGGAAGAUGGGGAUGACGUCAAAUCAUCAUGCCCCUUAUGCCCUGGGCCACACACGUGCUACAAUGGCCGGUACAGAGAGAAGCAAUCCCGUGAGGAGGAGCAAAUCUCACAAAGCCGGUCUCAGUUCGGAUUGGAGUCUGCAACUCGACUCCAUGAAGCUGGAAUUGCUAGUAAUCGCAGAUCAGCAUUGCUGCGGUGAAUACGUUCCCGGGCCUUGUACACACUGCCCGUCACACCAUGAGAGUCGGCAAUACUCGAAGUCGUUAUCUUAACCCGCAAGGGAGGGAGGCGCCUAAGGUAGGGCUGAUGAUUGGGGUUAAGUCGUAACAAGGUAUCCCUACGGGAACGUGGGGAUG
rnacentral:rRNA from 1 species